UACAGAGGUCCCAAGCGUUGUUCGGAUUCAUUGGGCGUAAAGGGUGCGUAGGUGGCGCCGUAAGUCAGGUGUGAAAUUUCGGAGCUUAACUCCGAAACUGCAUUUGAUACUGCGGUGCUUGAGGACUGGAGAGGAGACUGGAAUUUACGGUGUAGCAGUGAAAUGCGUAGAGAUCGUAAGGAAGACCAGUGGCGAAGGCGGCUCACUGGCCCGGUACUGACGCUGAGGUGCGAAAGCGUGGGGAGCAAACAGG
rnacentral:rRNA from 1 species